UAGAGCCGUGUGAAGGGAAACUUUCAUGCACGGUUUUGAAUGGGAGGGGUGAAGGCGACUUCACUCUCGACCCCUAAU
rnacentral:ncRNA from 1 species